GUCCGACUCUUUGCCACCCCAUGGACUGCAGCACGCCAGGCUUCCUUGUCCAUCACCAACUCCCAGAGCUCACUCAAACUCAUGUCCAUUGAAUCGGUGAUCCCAUCCACUGUUUUAACAACAUUCACAUAUACCACGCUGUUGGCGCUGUGUAGUCGCAAAGUCAUGUUCGACUCUUUGCAGCUCCGUGGACUGUAGCCACCAAGCUUCUCUGUACAUGGAAUUCUACAGGCAGGAAUGCUGAAGCAGGUUGCCAUACCCUCUUCCAGGGGAUCUACACAACCCAAGGACUGGACAUGCGUCUCCUGUGUCUCCUGCAUGCAGGCAGUUUCUUUACUGCUGAUCCACCAGGGGAGCCCGACACACUCUGUCAGGAGAGCUCACUUUAGAUAACGAUGUGAAUAAUAAGCGGCAAGGCGAAAAGCAACAUACUUUUCUGGAGGAAAUGUGUGCACAGACUCUGGUGACCUACAGCCUUGGGUCCUUUGCUUUUCUUCUUCCAUGGGUGACUGUAGAUAAAUCAUUUCAUAUCUUUGAACUUCAGUUUUGGGUGUCUUUUUUUUUUUUUUUUUUUUGGUAAGAUAAAUGGGUUUGGUAAUGAUUACUUCUCAAAUUCUCUUUAAGAAUUGAGAAUUACAUAUAAAA
rnacentral:lncRNA from 1 species